CAAAAAGGUAUUGCCACUAGCUCUCAGCUGCAUGAAGAUGUCAGAGCAGCACUUGGAGCAUCCAAUUUAGAUAAGGCACUGUGGUUUUCUGCCUCCUGAUUACUGAUUUUGCUGUAACACUUCACAAAGUGUGAAUACACAUCUGUGAGCAUAAGAAGUGCUAACAUUGCAGUAUCUACAUUUUAGUAAAUGUUACCUUCAAUAAGAAUGCUUCAUUGGAGACAGCAAGAGUGUGUUUGUGUGAAACUAAUCUUCUGGAAAAAAGAAAUUGAGCCAUCUUGAUAAUUUCAACCUAAUAUUUUAGAUCUGCAAUGAAGAUGUCUACAGUCAAGCUAAUACCCUGCACUUUCUUUAGAGUCAAGGAAGAGAAAUAAAAAUUGGAUGAUAUGAUUUAGGUGACCAAUUUUCAACAUAAUUUAGAAUGGACUCAUGUACGUCCUACAAGUGGUUAUUACUUUCUAUGAACUAAAAAGAUGCUAACUGAGAAGAUUGGCUACGUCAACAUUUACACUGUAAACAUUCAUUUUGACAAUGUGAGUCCCACCUUCUCUAAAGCAGAACAGAAAAAAGGGAAAAAAGAAAAGAAAAAAGCAAUUAAUGAAGCAAAUCUGAUUGUCAGAACUGUCUUGAAGAGCUUGAGAGUUGUUAAAUUCCUUGCAGUUCUCUAGCUUUGCUGCAUAACUUCAUAAUUUGAAUCUUCCUUCCAUCUACAACUGGAUGCUGUUGAUUUAAUUUCACACAGAUACUAAUUAAUUAACAAAUCAAUUUAAUCAACUAAGCACAAUCAGUGCAAGUCCAGCUACAAAUUUGAUUUGUUGAUUGUACUAGUCGCUUGUAAUCAGUUUUGUAAAAUAAAAAAUUUACAGCUUAAUUGAUUUUUAUCCUACUGGCUUGUUAAACUUCCAUAAAAUGCUAAAAAGAACAAAGAGCUUCUGCCCCUAAAAAGAAACACAACCUGUAACUCUGCAAGAAUAUAUAUAAAGCAACCAAACCUUUUGCCACUUUGCCGUGCUACCAGCUUACCACAGUCACCCACAGAAGAUCAAGAAGUUAAAGCACUUUGAAAUGAUAAUGAGAUUCUCCCACCAGCCAGUAGGAACUCUUAGAGGAUAGGUGAAAUGUGAUAAGAAUUUGUCUCACAAAGAGAGGAAAAACACCUGUCUGAAAGACCUGGCACAGAAAUCUGUCCUGUGUUUCAACUGGCAAAUACGUCUGAAAAUUUGAAGAAAACGGUACUGGGAAAUAAUUUAUCCUAGAGUUGCAUGCUCUCAAUUUAUACUGUUCCACCUUACAGGAAUUGUUUUCCUUCCUGGACAGCAAUUCAAGAGAAGGGGAAGAUCUUAAAGGGACAACAGUGUAAGGAGGCUUUUUGUCUAUGAUUAACAGAUUGUGGUCAUCUAGUUUUAUGUAUCCUGAAGUACAGAAAUAAGAAAAGGCCCCAAAACCAACAAACCACCCAAUUUGAUUCCUUAAAAAAUAGGGAGAAAAUGGAGCCUUCCAGAGGAGCAAGAACUGCUGCCAAAGGAUACUAAGAAUAAGGGAAAUGAGAUCUUCCAUUUCCAGGAUUGUUCCACCUAUGUUUAUGGUCCCUCAGCAUCAACAUAUUCAAGCAGCUUCUUUUAGGAUUUUUGCAUCACGGGACCUGAUUUGAAUACCAGCCUCUGGAACACCAGACAUCUCCAAUACACUUAUUGAAAAUGUAAACGUGAAGGUUGUCCUGCACUGGAUUUUCCUGUGUUCAUGUUAUCUGAAGAAAUACCUGUGCUAUAUCACAGUUCCAGAUUCAACAUGUUCUAUGCAGCUGGCACAGUUAUUUUCGUCCCUCUUUCUGGUGAGGUUGAGAUAGAUGCCAAAUGUAUGUGAAGCAUGGAUGUAUCAGAAAGAUUCUCAAGAAACCUUUAAAGAAUUCUACUACAGUAGGGCAUCCCCCUGAAUGCAAGCAGAAGCACAGUGUAUUAGGCACAUUAGGGACAAGAGUGAUGCUCAAGGAAGAGACAAAAAACUGUCCUAACACAACAGGGAAAUGAACUUGAUUCUGGUCCUCUUUUCCUAAGACAGGCUAUAUAGACCUGGAAAAAUGUAAAUGGCUUUGUUUCAACACUGUAUCUGGGCUUACUGUUUAAAGAGAAGAACACCUUCACAGGUACACUCAAGUUAUACCACAGUUCUAGCAAGAAGCACAUGAUGUCUGCGGCAUGUACUGCUGUGGUAAUGCAGUGGGUGCUUAGAGAUUCAAACAAACCCAUCUUUCUGUGCAGGCCACUCUGGUAUUCCACAGGCCAUGAUAAGAGCUGCUGGGUGGAGGCCAGCUUUGGAUGUAUAGCAGUGCUCUAAGCACUAAAAGCAGUUGGGAGUCCUGUUACAAAGCUUUGGAAUUUGGCAUUGUGGUAAAAUAAGAUUAUGGCCCACAGAUUCCGAACAGACAUGAUAUUCCUGCCAGAAACAGGAAACAAUAACUGCGGUAGCAUUCGUGUUCAAGAACAGGCAGUUCUCAGCUGUCAUGCAUAUUGAAAAUUGGCAGGAAUCCCUAAAAAAGAAUGUUUGCUAAUCACUUCUGUCCAGGUCUAACCAUAUUUAGCACAGAAAGCAGUUUACCAGAUUCAUUAGCAUAUUACAUCAUAUGCUAUCUGUCUCUCUGCACCUCAGUUUCUGUUGGGAUUCAUCAUUAGAAAUUAGAAAAAGCAGAACAGAAUUAAGAAGCCAUCACAAUUCAAUAAAUCCAAUGAAACUAUCACUAGGGAAGUAGCCUAAAGCAGGAAUGUCAUGUAUUAGGUCUAUUACACAUGGUGAUUUAUGCUUUUCAUGGAUUUCCUGUAAAGAUUUUGACUUGGCAAAUUCGUGAUGAAAAUAAAGCGGCAUAUAAUGUUUCUCAUUUUUUGCUGAUUCUUCUGCUGGUGAAUGACUUUUGAUAUGUAAUGCAGUAAUACACCAAGGCUAUUUCUUAGAUAUGUUAGUUACAGUCAGCUACUUUUCUGGAAUAAAGAUGUCAUCAGAAAAUUC